rnacentral:rRNA from 1 species
UUUUUGGGCUUGGUAAUUGGAAUGAGGGAGAGUUAAACGGACCAUCGAGUAUCCAUUGGAGGGCAAGUCUGGUGCCAGCAGCUGCGGUAAUACCAGCUCCAAUAGCGUAUAUUAAAGUUGUUGCAGUUAAAAAGCUCGUAGUUGGACUUGUGUGCGCCGUCCGCGGGUGGCCUGCGCCCAAAAGGGCGUUUCGGUUCGGCCCCGGUGGCGCCUUGAAAUCUGCAGCUGGGAGGACGUUGGCCUUAACUGGUCGGCGACCGCACGCCGGCUGCUCGGUUACUGUGAGAAAAUUAGAGUGUUCAAGGCAGGCAUUGGGUGCAAUUGAAUACAUUAGCAUGGAAUAAUAAAAUAUGGCUCCUGCCGUAUUUUGUUGGUUUUGACUGGUGAGAGUAAUGAUUGAUAGGGACGGUUGGGGGUGCUAGUAUUGAGCGGCCAGAGGUGAAAUUCAUGGAUUCGCUCAAGACUAACUUAUGCGAAAGCAUUCACCAAGGACGUCCUCUUUAAUCAAGAACGAAAAUUGGGGGAUCGAAGACGAUCAGAUACCGUCGUAGUCUCAACCAUAAACUAUGUCGACUUGGGAUCGGCGGUAGUUUUUUCAUUAAGACACUGUCGGGACCACGGGAGAAAUCAAAGUGUCUGGACUCUGGGGGAAGUAUGGUCGCAAGGCUGAAACUUGAAGGAAUUGACGGAAGGGCACCACCAGGAGUGGAGCCUGCGGCUUAAUUUGACACAACACGGGGAAACUUACCAGGUCCAGAGAUGUAGAGGAUUGACAGAUUGAAGCUCUUUCUUGAUCACUUCGGUGGUGUUGCAUGGCCGUUCUUAGUUGGUGGAGUGAUUUGUCUGGUUAAUUCCGUUAACGAACGAGACCUCAGCCUGCUAGUGUAGUCGGCUGGAUUGCCUUUGGCGAUCCGUGAUUUCGACUUCUUAGAGGGACAAUCGACGCGCAGUCGAUGGAAGUUUGAGGCAAUAACAGGUCUGUGAUGCCCUUAGAUGUUCUGGCCGCACGCGCGCUACACUGCUGGGCUCAGCGAGUUUUACUUGGCCGAGAGGCCCGGUUAAUCUUGUGAAAUCCCAGCGUGCUUGGGCUCGCCUCCUGCAACUGGAGGCGCCAACGAGGAAUUCCUAGUAGACGCAGGUCAUCAACCUGCAUCGAUUACGUCCCUGCCCUUUGUACACACCGCCCGUCGUUCCAUAAGAGUGAGGCAUCCGGUGAAUUCUCGGGAGAGCCUGGGCGUGGCCAGCAAUGGUCUGCUCGGGUUUGAACUUGCAUAAACUUGGUGCCUAUGAUUAGGGAAAAGUCGUAACAAGGUUUCCGUAGGUGAUCCUGCGGAA